GCAUAAACUCAGUAGAGUAGAGCAUGAGACUCUUAAUCUCAGAGUCGUGGAUUUGAGCCCCACGUUGGGCA